UGUGAAAUGUGCAUUCAAGGAAGGAGAAGAAAAACGACAUCCAAACUUGUUAUCAAUUGCAGAGGAAAUAGUGGAAAAGUGUAAAGGGGUUCCAUUGGCUGUGAAGAGUUUAGGUGGUAUGCUUUAUUUGAAAGUCGAUGAAAGGGAGUGGAAUUUGGUUAGAGAUAAUGAGAUUUGGGAAUUAGAAGAAAAGGAGGGAGACAUCUUACUUGCAUUGUGAUUGAGUUAUAAUCAAUUGCCAAUUCAUCUGAAGCGAUGCCUUGCCUAUUGUAUUAAUUUCCCAAAGGAUCAUGAAUUUUUUAAUAUCUUUUUAAUUCAACAAUGGGCGGUACUUGGAUUAAUCCUCCAAUCGCCUGCUAACAAAAAACAAGAGUUAGAAGAUGUUGGAGACUUGUAUAUUAAGGAGUUAAUGUCGAGAUGUUUCUUUCAAGAUUUUGAAGAAAUUAUGUUUAGUUGCUAUUCCUUCAAAAUGCAUGAUCUUGUCCAUGACCUUGUGCUCUCUAUUAUCCAUGAAGAAUGGUCGGAAAUAGAUGCUGACAACAAAGAAAUUGCUCCGACAGUUCGUCAUUUGUCAGUUUCAGACAAUGGCCAACAAGUUUCAAAGUCUCUGAAUAAGCUAACUAGUGUGCGGACCAUCAUAUACCGAACCAAACCGCACGUAUCCUCAGUUGAAGCAUGCAUCUCGAGAUUCAAGUCUUUGCGAUUGUUAGAUUUAAGUGAUUCAAAAUUUGAGAAUUUGCCACGUUCUAUUGGUACUCAAAAGCAUUUGAGAUAUCUCGACUUAUGUAAUAAUGAAUCAAUCGAGAAGCUUCCUAAUUCUGUUUGCAAGCUACACAAUUUGCAAACCUUGGUGCUUUUUGGAUGUGAUAAUCUUGAAUGACUGCCCAAAGAUAUAUGUAACUUGAUCAACCUUAGGUUUCUUGCAAUAACAACAAAAGAUACAUGCUUGCUGGAGAAUGGAGUAUAUUGCUUUAAUUCUCUUCGGACUUUAAUUGUUUACAAUUGUCCAAAUCUCGAAUGCUUGUUUCCACAGAUGGACAGGUGCCUCACCAACCUUCGUAUGUUGGUUUUCUUGAAAUGUGAAAGUUUGACCUCUUUGCCACCUAUUAUCAAGCACCUAACUGCAUUAGAGUCAUUAUACAUUGCUUAUUGUAAAGAGAUAGAUUUGACAGAAGGAGGAGAAGGAGAUGCACAGGAUCUCGAUUUGAGGCUCCAAAUCUUGGGUAUAAAAUGGUUGCCAAAGUUGGAGGUUUUACCUGAAAGGCUUCUAGGAUCUGCAAACACUUUAAAGCACCUAGAUAUCGAGGCAUGUGAAAAUCUCAAGGCCUUGCCAGAGUGGUUGUCAACUUUGAAAUCACUUCAGACAUUGGAGAUCAUUGAUUGCAAAGAGCUAUCAUCUUUACCGGAGGGAAUUCAUCAUAUAAAAGCAUUAAGAAAAUUGAAGAUUGAAGAUUGUCCUCAACUUGUUACUCGUUCAGAAGACUGGUCUAACAUACCAGGGCUUGAAGUACUUGUUUCUGAAAAUGCUAAAGAUGAUGAAGAAGAUUGAAGAACAACUUCCGCCUAAUUCCACGAGCAAGGAGAAGUCCAAGCCAAUGCCAGACUGAACGUACGAAGUAGCUUGGUUCGAAUUUAGAUACAUAUAUGUCUCUUCCUUAAAUUGCAUUUACGAUAUGUAAAAUACAGAAAUAAAGACAUGCAGUGACUUGUGUGUGUAUAAAGUGUGUGCGGUAGUUAGUUGGAUUGGUGGAUAUAUGUAUGUUGCUUCCAUA